ACCUAAUGAAGGGAGAUAAGCGAAUAACAACCUAGGAACUGACAAGGAGAUAUUCGCGGAGCGGACAUGAUAUCUCAGAACUGACCUGCCGAAUAUCCAGGAAAAUCCCUGCGGAUCUCGGAUGGAGCUACCCACGUGCGUAGAGCUAUAUAAGGAAGCAAGGACGACUUGGAAGACAUAUACAUUCAGCUUAACACUAACACCUAU
rnacentral:sRNA from 1 species